CAAAACUACUAAAACUAGCUUUGCCUUCAAUUAAUUUAUUUCCUGCCUACGAGACCGUCAUGUUUUUCCAUCCAUUUAGCUGCUGGAAAGCCCAGGGAGUCCCUGCUGCUGCUCAUGGCCCGGCGUGCUGGGAGCUGGCCAGCCUUUCCCUUGCAGUAAGGCAGCUUCGGGGAAGGCUUUGAGGUGAGGUGAUUCAGCAGGCGUGAAGCGACAAACUCCCCUUCCUGCUUGCACAAAAUGCUUGUCUCCAGAGCACGGCAAAGGGCGUUACAAAGGAUGCUGGGGUCCCUGCAGCAGAGCUGGCUCCAUCACGGUGGUAAAACUGACAGCGGAACGGUGAUGUCUGCAACCAGCCCGGCAACGGCAUGAUAACAAACACAGCUUCAAGUGCCUUGACGUGUCAUCCUGAGGCUGCGCUGCUGUUUUCCGUGUCAGCAUUGGUUCAGUGCCUGUAGAAAACAUCUCAGAUGGAGCGUGGGAAGUGAUCUUGUCUGCUGGCUCGGGCUGGGCUCCCUGGCACUCGAGGUAACCUUGACUUCACCUCGCCAUGGGUCGCAGCUUCAUGGUGACUGCAGGGGUUUUGCUAUGUCAGCUCUGUUUUUUGAGGAGAGUGAUGCCUGGUGAGCCAGAGAGUCCGGAAGGGAAACCUGAGCCUCAGAUCCUCGUUUCAUCCUCCCCAGCCCUGCAGCAGCCGCUGUCCCCAUCCCCUUUCCCUGACAGCACGGAGCUGGUAACGCCGGAUACCGAGAGCCUGCCCAAAUUCUGACCCCAGGGAGGAGAGAGCCAUGGGGAGUGGAAUGAGCAAGGUGGUCGCAGGGCUCUACCUGGGGAACAUCCGCGACUCGGAGGACAGGGACAGCCUGCGGAGGCAUGGAGUGACUCACAUCCUCUCCGUGCACAACGGGGCCAAGCCGGUGCUAGAGGACAUGGCUUAUCUCUGUAUCUCGGCCUCGGAUUCCUCCAGUCAAAACCUGAUGCAGCACUUUAAGGAGAGCAUCAAGUUCAUCCACGAGUGCCGGCUCCGUGGGGGAGGCUGCCUUGUCCAUUGCUUGGCCGGGGUGUCCCGCAGCACCACCAUCCUGGUGGCAUACCUGAUGACAGUGACAGAGCUGGGCUGGGAGCGUUGCCUGGCUGCCACCAAGGCUGUGCGCUCCUACGCCAGCCCCAACUUCGGCUUCCAGCAGCAGCUGCAGGAGUAUGAGCAGACCUUGCUGAAGGAGGUGGGUCCUGCAUGCAUCCAUGCACCGAUGCCGGUGACUGGCUUGCAGGGACCUUGUGCCAAAGGCGGGGGGCUCUGCAGCUGAGGGCCCCUUUGGCUGCAUCUGCGGUGUUUGCAAAUAAGCACAACUGUUUUGCAUACAGCAAUUUUGCAAACAGCGUGAGCCAGCUGCUAUUUAUUACCUGGGGGUUUUGCUGUUUGCAUGCGUGCAUGCAAAAACAUAAAAAGUGCCUAGACAUUGUGUGAGUGCACUUUAAAAAGCUGUUUCAAAUCCCAGUGCUCGUGUUUUCUCGAGAGUUCAGCUUGCACCACACAGUGGAGGGGACACACAAAAGGCACUCAGCUGGCACCAGGGAAUUCAGAGAGGUGACGGAGGGACUCUGCACAUGGGUUAUGCAACCCAUGUGCCACAGCUUGAAAUGUGCAUGGUGGCCCUGUGCUUGGUGCCUGCAGCAUCCCUGGAGGGAAAACCCCAACGUAUGGCACACUGCCACCAUGCAAGGAGCAGCUCCAUGGGAUUUCUCUGCAUGUGACAUUAACCCAAGUAUCAGCCCCUGCCCUGGCACAGAUGCUGUCACUUCAGGGGUGUGGCCCUGCCAGGCUGUCACUGCUCCAGAGUCGGCUCCCAGUGGCUGUUUUCUAGCAAGGAAACCAGCACUGCUCCCACCCCUGCAGCGGGGCUUCCUGUGCGCGGGUGGCUGCCGGUACCGUGCCUGGAUCCGCCGUGAUUAUGGCAGGAACCCCUUCCAGGACCAGGAGGAGCUGCAGCGUUUGUUGGCCCAGCAGGAGCAGAAGGAGCAAAGUGAGAGCAGGGGGGGCUUCUGCACCAGCCCCCCAGCACCCAGCCGCCCACUGCCCAGCAGCAGGAGCCGAUGGAUGGACAGAUAGACAGCGGCUGCUCGCGGAGGGACGUUGUCCCUGUGCCUUGCAAAACGUGACAGCCAUCAUGCCCAGUGCCCAUGGGGUGCAGCUGCAGUGGGGCGAAGGCUGGGGCUGGACCCCACAGCUGCGGUCAUGCAGGGGCUGCUCUGCUGCUGCCUCUCAUCCACCAGCCCCACUGCGUGGGAAAAAUCAAUGGUUACUGAAAUACAGAGGGGCAGAGCCUCACUCUGCAUUAAAGCCCUUCUCAGGGUCACCCCCAAGAGGAUCCAAUCCUUUAUUCCAAUAUUUUGAGGAAUUCUCUUAGAGGAAAUUUCUGGGUACUGGAGCGUGUGAGUGGGACAAAGCUGGAGCUGAGCUGCCAAGGAAGGGGGGGGUUGAUCAAAACCAUGGGGAUGGCUGCAGGGAUAGGGGGAUGGGCUGCUGUUAUUCUAUAUAGAAGUGCUGCAGUACCUGGGAAAGCACCCUGGGCAAUUAGUGGGGAAAAGGCCAAUAAAUGUUGUGGAUCGAGGGAGCCGGAGGGAAGUUGAGCAAACCUUGUAGAUAUUGCAUUGAAUGCCUUGGUUAUCAUUUUAGGAAGCAGAAAAAUGGAACUCGUGCACAGGAAAAAGAGAAGAAAGUUGGUUUCUGGUGUCAAUAGGAAGUCAUCGCAGAUCUGUGAUAAGCAGAGAUUAGAUGUGCAGUAGGUGUGAUAACCUCAUGCUGCCACUUCAGCACUCAUCCCACGGCCUGCCCCUGCCUUGUGGGCAUCCCGGGACUGCAGUGUUUCCCCCAGCUCACCCCAGCUUGUGGGAACCACGGGGGAUGCCCCUGGCGAUUACAGCAUCACAGCAGCAACUGCUGCCUGAAGAGCACCUCCCACACCCAGAUAGGUACCACACAGCUGUAUUCCCAUGUGACGACACGUUUUGCCUUGGUGGAAAGCAGCACAGCCCCUCCAGCCCCGCUCCUGGUUUUGCCAACCCGCAUUUGUUGUUGGCGCAGUCCUCCCAGUUUGUGGUUGCCAUUCCUUCCGUGCUGCCCAUAAAGUGAAGGCAGAGGUGGUGGAAGCAUCCCGCUGGCAGCAGGGCUGCAGGUGGUCUCUACUUUGUUGGGGGGCAGAUGAUUGCACGGAGCCCCUUUAAAA